UCAACCCUUGAUCGGUUCUUGAGCAAUCUUAACCAUCGAUACCUAGUUGGAAGAGAACAAAGUCAAGCUUAGAAGUAAUUAGUUAGAAUCCAACCAAGUAGUUCCUUGGAGAUAAGUGAUAUUAUGAAACUGAUGAUUGUUUCUUGGCUGUGUUAGUGAGUCACCGAACACCUGCUGGAUUCCGGACCCUUGAUCACUUCUGCCCAGUUGAAAUCCAGCCCUUCGAAGCCUCUAUAAAUUGAAGCUUGCACACAUCGUCUUGCACACAUCAAAGAAAAGAAAAACCAGAAAAACAGCAACAGCAAAACUCUCCUCGUUCCUCUCAUAAAACAGUGCAGAAAAUCCUGUUUUUCCUCCGUAUUAUCUCUCGGUGGAUGCCUAUAAACAAGAGACCAAACUCAUAAAAGAAUACCCAGCAAAAGUCUUCCCUGUAUCUCGGUUCUGUACAAGUAGAAAACUCUGCUCUCACCCACUCGGCCAGAACCCAGAAAAAUAGAAAGAAAACCCAGAAAAAGCAGUCGAGAAAGAAGAAAAUCUUCCCCUUGUUGUGGGUCACAGCCAGUAGAGUCUUCAAAGAAAAAUCAGAACCCAGCUCCCAUCUCUUUAGAACUGCAGAAAUCAUCCCAAAGCUCUGCGUCUCUCUCACCGUGGGAAAGCCCCUCUCUCUCUAACUCUCUCUUUUCUCUGCUGUGUAUAUUCGGUUAAGUUGAAAAAAUUUUAAUCGGGCUCGAAUAAGGCUCUUUUAAAAUUUUAAUUACAUUUCGAGCUCGAGCCGAGUUGAGCCUAUCGAGCCCGGCUCGACUCGAUAUGGUUUACUUAGCAAACUCAAGCUCGAGUCAAGGUAUUGCUCGGACAAAGAUUCUAAAGUUCAGCUCGAGCUCGAGCUCGGCUCAAUUAGAGGGUUGAUGUACAAAUUUAUUUAACUCGCAAGCGCAUGAAUCGUUUGCAAUAUAGUGUAUGUGCAUGUGCGAAGUCAAAUCAAUAUGAAAUUGUGUUGCAAAAAUUAAUUUAUAUCUAAA